UAGGGAAUCUUCGGCAAUGGGGGGAACCCUGACCGAGCAACGCCGCGUGAGUGAAGAAGGUUUUCGGAUCGUAAAGCUCUGUUGUUAAGGAAGAACGAGUGUGAGAAUGGAAAGUUCAUACUGUGACGGUACUUAACCAGAAAGGGACGGCUAACUACGUGCCAGCAGCCGCGGUAAUACGUAGGUCCCGAGCGUUGUCCGGAUUUAUUGGGCGUAAAGCGAGCGCAGGCGGUUAGAUAAGUCUGAAGUUAAAGGCAGUGGCUCAACCAUUGUAGGCUUUGGAAACUGUUUAACUUGAGUGCAGAAGGGGAGAGUGGAAUUCCAUGUGUAGCGGUGAAAUACGUAGAUAUAUGGAGGAACACCGGUGGCGAAAGCGGCUCUCUGGUCUGUAACUGACGCUGAGGCUCGAAAGCGUGGGGAGCGAACAGG
rnacentral:rRNA from 1 species